rfam:Otolemur garnettii contig096629, whole genome shotgun sequence.
GCCAGGCGUUGUGGCGGGUGCCUGUAGUCCCAGCUACUUGGGAGGCUGAGGCAGGAGACUCACUUGAGCCCAGGAGUUGGAGGUUGCUGUGAGCGUGAUACCAUGGCACUCUACCCAGGGGGAUAGCUUGAGGCUCCGUCUCAAAAAAAAAAAAUAGAGAGAGAAGAGCCUUUACUUUUUUUUCCUUCACCACAAUUCUAUACUUUUUUUUUUUUUUUUGAGACCGAGCCUCAAGCUAUCCCCUUUGGUAGAGUGCCAUGGCAUCACGCUCACAGCAACCUCCAACUCCUGGGCUCAAGUGAGUCUCCUGCCUCAG